CCAGACUCCUACGGGAGGCAGCAGUGGGGAAUAUUGCACAAUGGGGGAAACCCUGAUGCAGCAACGCCGCGUGAGUGAGGAAGUAUUUCGGUAUGUAAAGCUCUAUCAGCAGGGAAUAGAAAAGAAGGUACCUGAAAAAGAAGCCCCGGCUAACUACGUGCCAGCAGCCGCGGUAAUACGUAGGGGGCAAGCGUUAUCCGGAUUUACUGGGUGUAAAGGGGGCGCAGACGGCAGCGCAAGCCAGGAGUGAAAGCCCGGGGCCCAACCCCGGGACUGCUCUUGGAACUGCGCGGCUGGAGUGCAGGAGGGGCAGGCGGAAUUCCUGGUGUAGCGGUGAAAUGCGUAGAUAUCAGGAGGAACACCGGUGGCGAAGGCGGCCUGCUGGACUGCGACUGACGUUGAGGCCCGAAAGCGUGGGGAGCAAACAGGAUUAGAUACCCGGGUAGG
rnacentral:rRNA from 1 species